rnacentral:lncRNA from 1 species
CUAACUUUCACCUCCCAGGCUGUUUGUGGAGUUAGGGUCUGAGUCCAGGAAAAGGAAGGAACCUCAGCUGAUUGGGAGUACAAGGCUUAUCUGUGCUGCUGAGACACAGCCCCAGCUGCAUUAUACGAGCACUUUGGAAAUUACAGGAUUACCAGCUUUGGGACAAAACAACAUUUGUGCUAAACAGCCGCUUUUUAUAUCCUACUUCCUGGAAACUCAGUCACUAUGUUCAGCCCUUUGACCUAUUUGAGAAGAAAUCACAAAACAAAGCAUCUUCCAACCUGACCAUAAGAAAUCACUUUACUGAAUCACAAACGGGACAUUUGAUGCCAUGCGAGCAAAAAAAAAAAAAAAAAACUUUGUUUGUCCAGCCAACUAGCAAGAGGUGUCUUGCUGAGACUCCUUCCCACAGAGACCAACCCUAUACUAGGAAAAAGCAAAUGCCAGGGUUAAUCAGAACAGCAUGGGAGUUAAUUAGUGCCUCCUGAUCAAGUAGAAUGGGCUUAGCACCUUUUGUGUAGAUGAGUGUCCUGUUCCUGAAAGCUACCUGGGAAGGAGACAUUGCAUCAUCAUGGAGUUUAAUUCCACUAAAUACUUC